UUAUAAAAUACCUUUGCUUUCUUCGACGUUGAAUCCAACUGUCCUUUACGUCAAAGUUUCCUUGGCGCAUCCUUUCGUUUUGACGAUAGCGGAUUUAGUACAUUGACGCCAGAAUGAUUUAGAGAAUCCGACCCGUGAGAUAUUACAUGAUUGGAAUGAGUACAACAACUCGACUUCAGCUCCUUCACCUGAACCUUUAUCCAAUCCAUUACUGUAGAACUCCGGGCUUCAUCGUCAACAGCAAGGUCAGCCACCUCGAAAAAUGCCUGACACAUAUCGUCAUACCUUAAUUGUACAGGAGUACUGGCCAACCGAUCGUAGUGCACUGCCACCCUCGUGUGUGCUCUACUAACAUCCCUCCUUCAUCUCCGCAAUAUAAACUUGUUCGGCAAUAACUUGACAUUAUUAGGUAUCAACACAGUGAAUGCAUGCCGACAAAGUAUCCCUCGAAACUCGAAUAAAUGACAGUUGCAAACACAAACUAUAUCAUCACAUGUCUCCCUCGUAAAUGAGACGAAAAAGAUUUUUUCGUCCUAUGCUCUCCAUAUAGUAGGACAUCUUCCCAAACCUCGUGAAUCGUCCUCGAACAUCCCUCUGAAACAGAUAUAAUGUAACAGUAAACUUUCCCAAUGAACUCGUUCUGAAUCUCUCUAAACUUUGAUAUGGUGUUAACUUUUUGAAAUUGCUUUUCCAACUUAAAAUUCGUUACGCAUGGUACCAUUUGCGCGUAUGACUUAAAAUCAGCCUGGAACUCUUUCUCGACCUUGGUCCGCAGUACUCUUUCAUAUUGUUCAACAAAUUACUUCAAAGAGAUUUUUGAAUGCACAUAUCCGUCAAAGAAUGCAUUCACACUCUCACUUCUUUGCGUUGUGGACAUUCCGGCCCAAAAUGUGACUUUCAAGAAGCAAGGAAUCCAACAGCCUCUGUUUUCAAACAAUCCCGACAACCAAUCAUUGUCAUACAACUUGUAUAUAUCAAUCAUCGCCCUCCAUCCUUCUUCGAAUUCUUCAACGGUCUACGAAUCAUAUAUUAAUCUAUGUAUAUUAUGAAAGAUCGAAGCCUUAGCAUCGUGAUAGUCAAACUU
rnacentral:lncRNA from 1 species